rnacentral:rRNA from 1 species
UACGUAGGGAGCAAGCGUUGUCCGGAAUCGUUGGGCGUAAAGCGCGCGUAGGCGGCCUCAUAAGUCCGUUGUGAAAGUCAAAGGCUCAACCUUUGAAAGCCGAUGGAUACUGUGAGGCUAGAGUCCGGAAGAGGCGAGUGGAAUUCCUGGUGUAGCGGUGAAAUGCGCAGAUAUCAGGAAGAACACCCGUGGCGAAGGCGGCUCUCUGGGACGGUACUGACGCUGAGACGCGAAAGCGUGGGGAGCGAACAGG